rnacentral:rRNA from 1 species
GACGAACCGUGCGAACGUUGUUCGGAAUCACUGGGCUUAAAGGGCGCGUAGGCGGGCGCGAAAGUCAGGGGUGAAAUCCCACGGCCCAACCGUGGAAGUGCCUCUGAUACUGCGUGCCUGGAGGGAGGUAGGGGCGUGCGGAACUUCCGGUGGAGCGGUGAAAUGCGUAGAUAUCGGAAGGAACACCGAUGGCGAAAGCAGCGCGCUGGACCUCUUCUGACGCUGAGGCGCGAAAGCCAGGGGAGCGAACGGG